rnacentral:rRNA from 1 species
UACGAAGGGGGCUAGCGUUGCUCGGAAUCACUGGGCGUAAAGCGCACGUAGGCGGAUUGUUAAGGUCAGGGUGAAAUCCUGGAGCUCAACUCCAGAACUGCCUUUGAUACUGGCGAUCUUGAGUCCGGGAGAGGUGAGUGGAACUGCGAGUGUAGAGGUGAAAUUCGUAGAUAUUCGCAAGAACACCAGUGGCGAAGGCGGCCAUCUGGGCUGUACCUGACGCUGAGACGCGAAGGCGUGGGGAGCGAACGGG